UACGGAGGGUGCAAGCGUUAAUCGGAAUUACUGGGCGUAAAGCGUGCGUAGGCGGUUCGUUAAGUCUGUUGUGAAAGCCCCGGGCUCAACCUGGGAAUGGCAAUGGAUACUGGCGAGCUAGAGUGUGUCAGAGGAUGGUGGAAUUCCCGGUGUAGCGGUGAAAUGCGUAGAGAUCGGGAGGAACAUCAGUGGCGAAGGCGGCCAUCUGGGGACAACACUGACGCUGAGGCACGAAAGCGUGGGGAGCAAACAGGG
rnacentral:rRNA from 1 species